rnacentral:rRNA from 1 species
UACGGAGGGAGCUAGCGUUAUUCGGAAUUACUGGGCGUAAAGCGCACGUAGGCGGCUUUGUAAGUAAGAGGUGAAAGCCUGGAGCUCAACUCCAGAACUGCCUUUUAGACUGCAUCGCUUGAAUCCAGGAGAGGUGAGUGGAAUUCCGAGUGUAGAGGUGAAAUUCGUAGAUAUUCGGAAGAACACCAGUGGCGAAGGCGGACUCACUGGACUGGUAUUGACGCUGAGGUGCGAAAGCGUGGGGAGCGAACAGGA